CACGUAGGGCGCAAGCGUUGUCCGGAAUUAUUGGGCGUAAAGAGCUCGUAGGCGGUCUGUUGCGUCCGCUGUGAAAACUCGGGGCUUAACCCCGAGCCUGCAGUGGAUACGGGCAGACUAGAGGUAGGUAGGGGAGAAUGGAAUUCCCGGUGUAGCGGUGAAAUGCGCAGAUAUCGGGAGGAACACCGGUGGCGAAGGCGGGUCUCUGGGCCAUUACUGACGCUGAGGAGCGAAAGCGUGGGGAGCGAACAGG
rnacentral:rRNA from 1 species